rnacentral:rRNA from 1 species
CCUACGGGAGGCUGCAGUGGGGAAUAUUGGACAAUGGGGGGAACCCUGAUCCAGCGACGCCGCGUGAGUGAAGAAGUAUUUCGGUAUGUAAAGCUCUAUCAGCAGGGAAGAAAGAAAUGACGGUACCUGACUAAGAAGCCCCGGCUAACUACGUGCCAGCAGCCGCGGUACUACGUAGGGGGCAAGCGUUAUCCGGAUUUACUGGGUGUAAAGGGAGCGUAGACGGCGAUGCAAGUCUGAAGUGAAAGGCGGGGGCCCAACCCCCGGACUGCUUUGGAAACUGUAUGGCUGGAGUGCAGGAGAGGUAAGUGGAAUUCCUAGUGUAGCGGUGAAAUGCGUAGAUAUUAGGAGGAACACCAGUGGCGAAGGCAGCGUACUGGACUGUAACUGACGUUGAGGCUCGAAAGCGUGGGGAGCAAACAGGAUUAGAUACCCUUGUAGUC